UACGUAGGCAGCGAGCGUUGUUCGGAGUUACUGGGCGUAAAGGGUGUGUAGGCGGUUGUUUAAGGUUGGUGUGAAAUCUCCCGGCUCAACUGGGAGGGUGCGCCGAAUACUGAAUGACUUGGAGUGCGGGAGAGGAAAGUGGAAUUCCUGGUGUAGCGGUGAAAUGCGUAGAUAUCAGGAGGAACACCGGUGGUGUAGACGGCUUUCUGGACCGUAACUGACGCUGAGACACGAAAGCGUGGGUAGCAAACAGG
rnacentral:rRNA from 1 species